rnacentral:rRNA from 1 species
UCUAUAACUCGAUAAUCCACGAACACCAAACCCUCUCUAGAAUUCCAGCAUGUGUACUGCCGUUGUAAGCAUACCUUUAAAAGAAUAAGUGUGCUACUAUGACCCCAAAAGACUCAUAUACAUCAGGUCAAAGUGCAGCCAAUAAGGGGGUGAUGAUGGGUUACAACCCUAAAAUAGACUAUCAAAUAAGAAAUUAAAAAUCUUACGAAAGUGGACUUGGUCGUAAUCAACUUAUAUAAUAAAAAAAUGAAUAUAAAUCUAAGACAUGCACACAUCGCCCGUCACUCUAUCCAAAAGGUUAGAUAAGUCGUAACAAAGUAGGUGUAAUGGAAAUUGCACCUGUCAGAGUAUAGCAUAUAAAAUGCUUUUUACUUACACUAAAAAUAAAGUUACUACUUGCUCUGUCCACACACGGAAAUCUUUUAAACACUUAAUAAUAAAAACAAAUAAACAAAUAAUAGUUAAUAACGAAGUACAGAAAUGGAAAGCCUAAUUAAUAAAAGUAAUUAUUAACAACUGUACCUUGUGCAUUAUGGUUUUACAAGCUAAUAAUUAAAAACACCAAUCCCGAAUUCUACAUGAGAUGUUAAACUGCUGUUAUGAACUUAUUAAUGGCUGUAGAAAAAGCUUUAAAAGACAGUUUAACAGAGGCUACAUACCAUCCGCAUAAGAAUAUAGCUGGUUUUCAACAAACAUUAUACAUUAAAACAUAUAAUAAUUUAUACUGUAAAAUUACUGAGGACAAGCCCAGUAAUCAAAGCAAUACUCUACCAACCCAAAAAUUCUCUAUAGGCCUAAAACCAGCCAACCAAAAUACUUUACCGUAACAUACAAAGACAUAAUACAUGUGUUAAGAUAUGCGAAAGUAAGUUGAAAUAAUGAAUAAACUAGUAAACUCAUACAUAUUAUGUAAAAAUAAGUAUUAUAAAAAUAUAUCAACAAUAAUCUAGUACUACCAACAAAUAAACAAACAAUAAUUAAUUAAGGAACUCGGCAAACCAUUAUUUCGACUGUUUAACAAAAACAUUGUCCCAUGAAAGAAAAUAUGGGAUAGUGCCUGCCC